AGGAACGCAAUCGUUUACAUGUGAAAGAAAAAUCAUCUUUUUGACUUCAUUCACAGAUUUAUGUGUAGAUUGUAAGAAAAAUGGUGAACAUGAUGGAUUUGAUUUUAUGUGUUCAAGAUGCACCGAAUUUGCUGCAAUAAACGUGUCCCCGACUCCAUGUCCAACAACGGAAUGCCCUUGUACACUAAGAGAGGAAAACAUCAACACUACAAAUACUACC